AACUUUCAGCUUUGUUGAGUUUGGCGCCUCCUUUGGACAAAAAUCGGUAGUGCUUUACCAGAAAGAACACUCCAUUUCCCAUGAGCACCAGCGCGUACUGCCGGAAAACCCCCGUCCCCGCCGCUGCAUUUGUUUUGAUGAGAGAAGACGGGACGGACUUUCAAAACGACUUUUCUGUUUUCAGCGGUCGUUUGCAGGAUGGAUAAUGAAGAGGAAUCUGCUGUUCGUGAGAACACCUCUACCUCUGCAUCAUCAGAGUUUGAACCCCCACAAAGACAGAACCGACACGCAGCAUAUAUAUCAUAUAUAUAUGCAUAUAUAUAUAUAUAUAUCAUAUAUAUAUAUGCAUAUAUAUACAUAUCGCCAGUUUGUGCUCUGGCAGCAUGAUGUUUGGAAAAUAAGAGACACCUUUCCAGACCCAAUGGGACAGUACACUGGUUUCAGGGCUCCCCGUCUUCUCUAGAAUGGAACCUUUAUGAGGAUUACUGCAAAUAUUUUGAUAUUGUUUUUUUUUUUUGUUCCAUUUUUUCCUGUACAGUUGUUUUUGUGUGUUUAAAAUAAAGACAUUUGUGCAAAACAA